rnacentral:rRNA from 1 species
AAACAAAGGGAAGCGAGCCUGUGAAGGUAAGCAAAUCUCAAAAAUAACGUCUCAGUUCGGAUUGUAGUCUGCAACUCGACUACAUGAAGCUGGAAUCGCUAGUAAUCGCGGAUCAGAAUGCCGCGGUGAAUACGUUCCCGGGUCUUGUACACACCGCCCGUCACACCAUGGGAGUCGGAAAUGCCCGAAGCCAGUGACCCAACCGAGAGGAGGGAGCUGCCGAAGGCGGGACUGGUAACUAGGGUGAAGUCGUAACAAGGUAAC